CCCCCCCCCCCCCCUCCUUUAUUUCGUCUUUCUUCACCGUCGCCGAACGAUAUCUAUGCGGUUGUAGAAAUAAGGUAAAAAAAAAAUUUCCUUUUAAUCAUCUUUUCAAUAGUUUUAGGGUUUGUGGGGAAGGUUCUUAUUUGAUAAAGAUAUUGUGAAAAAGGCUAUUAAUUCUUAUAAAUAAAUUUUUUUUCUUGUUCAAAUUGAUACAAUGACCCUUGUUAUUGAAAUUUGACAACAACCGUUGGCUGGAGCCGAAUUUGGCGAUUAAUGGAUUAGAUGAGUGUCGUUUCUUUGGAUCGACGAUCAUGAUUUAUAUUGAUAUGUACCUGUUUUUUUCAUUUUAUGUUUAACCAUUACAAUAAUUUUUAUAUAUUAUUAAUAUUUUUAUUUAAAUUUAAGUUUUCAUAUUACGAGUGCUUUUUAUUGAUGAUUAGGACCCAACUACAAGAAGAAAAGUGACUCGUGUUGGUGGUGGAUUGCGGAUUCGUUCAUGGACAGAAAAUUGGUUAAAUAUGUAUUAUUCUUAUUUUUAUGGUGUUAAAUAUUUGUAACAUGGAAACCAAAAGAAUAAGAUUGUCCAAUCUCAUGCAUUUACUUGGAUUUCAAAGUGGUUUUCAUGUUUAUAUAGUUGUUUGUAAAUAGUGGUUUUCAUGUUUAUAUAGAUAUCUAUACAUGUUUUCAUGUUUAUAUAGUGUUUAUAUAGAUUGGUUUUCAUGUUAUAUGUUGUUUAUACAGAGUGGUUUUCAUAUUUAUAUAGUUGUUUGUAAAUAGUGGUUUUCACAUAGUGGAUUAUGUUAAUGUAAAGUGGAUUACGUUAUUUUACAGUGAUUUUUACAGUAAUUUUACAAUGGUUUUUGAUAAAUUUGUAGUAGUUCCGAUGAGUAUAUAG
rnacentral:lncRNA from 1 species